rnacentral:rRNA from 1 species
GGGUUGUGAGGUUAAGUGACUAAGCGUACACGGUGGAUGCCUAGGCAGUCAGAGGCGAUGAAGGGCGUGCUAAUCUGCGAAAAGCGUCGGUAAGGUGAUAUGAACCGUUACAACCGGCGAUACCCGAAUGGGGAAACCCAGUGUGUUUCGACACACUAUCAUGUCAUGAAUAGAUAGUGGCAUGAGGCGAACCGGGGGAACUGAAACAUCUAAGUACCCCGAGGAAAAGAAAUCAACCGAGAUUCCCCCAGUAGCGGCGAGCGAACGGGGAGGAGCCCAGAACCUGAAUCGGCUUGUGUGUUAGUGGAAGCGUCUGGAAAGUCGCGCAGUAAAGGGUGAUAGCCCCGUACACUAAAAUGCACAGGUCGUGAGUUCGAUGAGUAGGGCGGGACACGUGACAUCCUGUCUGAAUAUGGGGGGACCAUCCUCCAAGGCUAAAUACUCCUGACUGACCGAUAGUGAACCAGUACCGUGAGGGAAAGGCGAAAAGAACCCCGGCGAGGGGAGUGAAAUAGAACCUGAAACCGUGUACGUACAAGCAGUGGGAGCACCUUCGUGGUGUGACUGCGUACCUUUUGUAUAAUGGGUCAGCGACUUAUAUUUUGUAGCAAGGUUAACCGUAUAGGGGAGCCGUAGGGAAACCGAGUCUUAACUGGGCGAAUAGUUGCAAGGUAUAGACCCGAAACCCGGUGAUCUAGCCAUGGGCAGGUUGAAGGUUGGGUAACACUAACUGGAGGACCGAACCGACUAAUGUUGAAAAAUUAGCGGAUGACUUGUGGCUGGGGGUGAAAGGCCAAUCAAACCGGGAGAUAGCUGGUUCUCCCCGAAAGCUAUUUAGGUAGCGCCUCGUGAACUCAUCUUCGGGGGUAGAGCACUGUUUCGGCUAGGGGGCCAUCCCGGCUUACCAAACCGAUGCAAACUCCGAAUACCGAAGAAUGUUAUCACGGGAGACACACGGCGGGUGCUAACGUCCGUCGUGAAGAGGGAAACAACCCAGACCGCCAGCUAAGGUCCCAAAGUCAUGGUUAAGUGGGAAACGAUGUGGGAAGGCAUAGACAGCCAGGAUGUUGGCUUAGAAGCAGCCAUCAUUUAAAGAAAGCGUAAUAGCUCACUGGUCGAGUCGGCCUGCGCGGAAGAUGUAACGGGGCUAAACCAUGCACCGAAGCUGCGGCAGCGACGCUUAGGCGUUGUUGGGUAGGGGAGCGUUCUGUAAGCCGUUGAAGGUGGCCUGUGAGGGUUGCUGGAGGUAUCAGAAGUGCGAAUGCUGACAUAAGUAACGAUAAAGCGGGUGAAAAGCCCGCUCGCCGGAAGACCAAGGGUUCCUGUCCAACGUUAAUCGGGGCAGGGUGAGUCGACCCCUAAGGCGAGGCUGAAAAGCGUAGUCGAUGGGAAACAGGUUAAUAUUCCUGUACUUGGUGUUACUGCGAAGGGGGGACGGAGAAGGCUAGGCUAGCCGGGCGACGGUUGUCCCGGUUUAAGCGUGUAGGGGGUGUGACCUGGUAAAUCCGGUUGCAUAUCAACCCUGAGGCGUGAUGACGAUGCACUACGGUGCAGAAGUAGUUGAUGCCCUGCUUCCAGGAAAAGCCUCUAAGCUCCAGGUAACAUUAAAUCGUACCCCAAACCGACACAGGUGGUCAGGUAGAGAAUACCAAGGCGCUUGAGAGAACUCGGGUGAAGGAACUAGGCAAAAUGGUGCCGUAACUUCGGGAGAAGGCACGCUGGCAUGUAGGUGAAGUCCCUUGCGGAUGGAGCUGAAGCCAGUCGAAGAUACCAGCUGGCUGCAACUGUUUAAUAAAAACACAGCACUGUGCAAACACGAAAGUGGACGUAUACGGUGUGACGCCUGCCCGGUGCUGGAAGGUUAAUUGAUGGGGUCAGCCGCAAGGCGAAGCUCUUGAUCGAAGCCCCAGUAAACGGCGGCCGUAACUAUAACGGUCCUAAGGUAGCGAAAUUCCUUGUCGGGUAAGUUCCGACCUGCACGAAUGGCGUAAUGAUGGCCAGGCUGUCUCCACCCGAGACUCAGUGAAAUUGAACUCGCUGUGAAGAUGCAGUGUACCCGCGGCAAGACGGAAAGACCCCGUGAACCUUUACUAUAGCUUGACACUGAACAUUGAGCCUUGAUGUGUAGGAUAGGUGGGAGGCUUUGAAGCGUGGACGCCAGUCUGCGUGGAGCCAUCCUUGAAAUACCACCCUUUAAUGUUUGAUGUUCUAACUCGGCCCCAUAAUCUGGGGUGAGGACAGUGUCUGGUGGGUAGUUUGACUGGGGCGGUCUCCUCCCAAAGAGUAACGGAGGAGCACGAAGGUUAGCUAAUCACGGUCGGACAUCGUGAGGUUAGUGCAAAGGCAUAAGCUAGCUUGACUGCGAGAGUGACGGCUCGAGCAGGUACGAAAGUAGGUCUUAGUGAUCCGGUGGUUCUGAAUGGAAGGGCCAUCGCUCAACGGAUAAAAGGUACUCCGGGGAUAACAGGCUGAUACCGCCCAAGAGUUCAUAUCGACGGCGGUGUUUGGCACCUCGAUGUCGGCUCAUCACAUCCUGGGGCUGAAGUAGGUCCCAAGGGUAUGGCUGUUCGCCAUUUAAAGUGGUACGCGAGCUGGGUUUAGAACGUCGUGAGACAGUUCGGUCCCUAUCUGCCGUGGGCGUUGGAAGAUUGAGAGGGGUUGCUCCUAGUACGAGAGGACCGGAGUGAACGCACCACUGGUGUUCGGGUUGUCAUGCCAAUGGCAUUGCCCGGUAGCUAAGUGCGGAAAAGAUAAGCGCUGAAAGCAUCUAAGCGCGAAACUUGCCUCAAGAUGAGUCUUCCCUGGGCCUUUAAGGCCCCUGAAGGAACGUUUAAGACUAAGACGUUGAUAGGCUGGGUGUGUAAGUGCAGCGAUGCAUUGAGCUAACCAGUACUAAUGAUCCGUGAGGCUUAACCUUACAACACCGAAGGUGUUU